AACAACCUGCCUUCAGGAUGGGGACAACAGACGGAAACGACUGCUAAUACCGAAUACGUUCCACGGGCCGCAUGACCUGUGGAAGAAAGGGUAGCCUCUACCUGUAAGCUAUCGCCUGAAGAGGGGUUUGCGUCUGAUUAGGCAGUUGGUGGGGUAACGGCCCACCAAACCAACGAUCAGUAGCCGGUCUGAGAGGAUGAACGGCCACACUGGAACUGAGACACGGUCCAG
rnacentral:rRNA from 1 species